rnacentral:rRNA from 1 species
AAUCAACGCUGGCGGCGUGCCUCAGACAUGCAAGUCGAACGAUUAAAGCUCUCUUCGGAGAGUGCAUAGAGUGGCGCACGGGUGAGUAACACGUAAGUAAUCUACCUUUGAGUGGGGAAUAACACCGAGAAAUCGGUGCUAAUACCGCAUAACAUCCUGCCUUUGAACAGGCGGUGAUCAAAGCCGGGGAUCGCAAGACCUGGCGCUUGAUGAGGGGCCCGCGUCUGAUUAGCUAGUUGGUGAGGUAAUGGCCCACCAAGGCAACGAUCAGUAUCCGGCCUGAGAGGGCGGACGGACACACUGGGACUGAGACACGGCCCAGACUCCUACGGGAGGCAGCAGUGGGGAAUUGUUCGCAAUGGGCGCAAGCCUGACGACGCAACGCCGCGUGGAGGAUGAAGGUCUUCGGAUUGUAAACUCCUGUUGCUCGGGACGAAUGGCUCCGGCCUAAUACGUCGGAGUGUGACGGUA